rnacentral:rRNA from 1 species
AUUGAACGCUGGCGGCAUGCUUUACACAUGCAAGUCGAACGGCAGCACGGGCUUCGGCCUGGUGGCGAGUGGCGAACGGGUGAGUAAUGCAUCGGAACGUACCGUGUAAUGGGGGAUAACGUAGCGAAAGUUACGCUAAUACCGCAUACGCCCUGAGGGGGAAAGUGGGGGACCGCAAGGCCUCACGUUAUACGAGCGGCCGAUGUCGGAUUAGCUAGUUGGUGGGGUAAAGGCCUACCAAGGCGACGAUCCGUAGCGGGUCUGAGAGGAUGAUCCGCCACACUGGGACUGAGACACGGCCCAGACUCCUACGGGAGGCAGCAGUGGGGAAUUUUGGGACAAUGGGGGCAACCCUGAUCCAGCCAUGCCGCGUGAGUGAAGAAGGCCU